GACGAACGCUGGCGGCGUGCUUAACACAUGCAAGUCGAACGGAAAGGCCUAGCUUGCUGGGUACUCGAGUGGCGAACGGGUGAGUAACACGUGGGUGAUCUGCCCCUGACUUUGGGAUAAGCCUGGGAAACUGGGUCUAAUACCGGAUAUUCAUUUUUCCUCGCAUGGGGAUUUGUGGAAAGCUUUUGCGGUUGGGGUUGGGCCCGCGGCCUAUCAGCUUGUUGGUGGGGUAAUGGCCUACCAAGGCGACGACGGGUAGCCGACCUGAGAGGGUGAUCGGCCACACUGGGACUGAGACACGGCACAGACUCCUACGGGAGGCAGCAGUGGGGAAUAUUGCACAAUGGGCGGAAGCCUGAUGCAGCGACGCCGCGUGAGGGAUGACGGCCUUCGGGUUGUAAACCUCUUUCAGCUCCGACGAAGCGAAAGUGACGGUAGGAGCAGAAGAAGCACCGGCCAACUACGUG
rnacentral:rRNA from 1 species